UCAAUGGAUUUUCUAAAAUCCAUAAACAAACAACAGUAUAACCUA
rfam:Equus caballus chromosome 1, whole genome shotgun sequence.